UACGUAGGGGGCGAGCGUUAUCCGGAUUUACUGGGCAUAAAGCGCAUGUAGGCGGCGACUUAAGUCAGAUGUUAAAUCCCUCAGCUCAACUGAGGUCCGCAUCUGAAACUGAGUUGCUAGAGGUCAGGAGAGGAAAGCGGAACUCACGGUGUAGCGGUGAAAUGCGUAGAUAUCGUGAGGAACACCAGUUGCGAAGGCGGCUUUCUGGACUGAAUCUGACGCUGAGAUGCGAAAGCGUGGGGAGCAAACGGGAUUAGAUACCCCGGUAGUCCACGCCGUAAACUGUGUUCACUAGGUGUUGGAGGUAUCGACCCCUUCAGUGCCACAGAUAAUUCGUUAAGUGAACCGCCUGGGAAGUACGACCGCAAGGUUA
rnacentral:rRNA from 1 species